CAGCCGCCGCGGUAAUACGUAGGUCCCGAGCGUUGUCCGGAUUUAUUGGGCGUAAAGGGAGCGCAGGCGGUUUAGUAAGUCUGAAGUUAAAGGCAUUGGCUCAACCAAUGUAUGCUUUGGAAACUGUUAGACUUGAGUGCAGAAGGGGAGAGUGGAAUUCCAUGUGUAGCGGUGAAAUGCGUAGAUAUAUGGAGGAACACCGGUGGCGAAAGCGGCUCUCUGGUCUGUCACUGACGCUGAGGCUCGAAAGCGUGGGUAGCAAACAGGAUUAGAUACCCCUGUAGUCCCUGUCUCUUAUACA
rnacentral:rRNA from 1 species